UUCCAAACUGAAAAUUGGUGUUAUAGAUAGAGACGGUUCUUUGGCGGAUAGUGACAUGGUUGACUACCUUUGGACAUUCAUUAUCACAAAAGCUGCAGCAAGCGAAAGCUCGGCACCGUGGACCAGUCGAUUAAUUAAAGGAACCAGAAAAAGAGAACCCACGACAUUGCUUCUGGAGUUUGCCGUGUAUUGUGAUCCAGGUUGGAAAGGGGCUGACUGCAACGAGUGCGCAGUCAACCAUUGCAAAAAUGGAGGCACAUGUAGCUAUAAUUCUGCCAAGAGGCAAAAGCAUUGCACCUGCCCAG